GACGAACGCUGGCGGCGUGCCUAAUACAUGCAAGUCGAACGAACUCUGGUAUUGAUUGGUGCUUGCAUCAUGAUUUACAUUUGAGUGAGUGGCGAACUGGUGAGUAACACGUGGGAAACCUGCCCAGAAGCGGGGGAUAACACCUGGAAACAGAUGCUAAUACCGCAUAACAACUUGGACCGCAUGGUCCGAGUUUGAAAGAUGGCUUCGGCUAUCACUUUUGGAUGGUCCCGCGGCGUAUUAGCUAGAUGGUGGGGUAACGGCUCACCAUGGCAAUGAUACGUAGCCGACCUGAGAGGGUAAUCGGCCACAUUGGGACUGAGACACGGCCCAAACUCCUACGGGAGGCAGCAGUAGGGAAUCUUCCACAAUGGACGAAAGUCUGAUGGAGCAACGCCGCGUGAGUGAAGAAGGGUUUCGGCUCGUAAAACUCUGUUGUUAAAGAAGAACAUAUCUGAGAGUAACUGUUCAGGUAUUGACGGUAUUUAACCAGAAAGCCACGGCUAACUACGUGCCAGCAGCCGCGGUAAUACGUAGGUGGCAAGCGUUGUCCGGAUUUAUUGGGCGUAAAGCGAGCGCAGGCGGUUUUUUAAGUCUGAUGUGAAAGCCUUCGGCUCAACCGAAGAAGUGCAUCGGAAACUGGGAAACUUGAGUGCAGAAGAGGACAGUGGAACUCCAUGUGUAGCGGUGAAAUGCGUAGAUAUAUGGAAGAACACCAGUGGCGAAGGCGGCUGUCUGGUCUGUAACUGACGCUGAGGCUCGAAAGUAUGGGUAGCAAACAGGAUUAGAUACCCUGGUAGUCCAUACCGUAAACGAUGAAUGCUAAGUGUUGGAGGGUUUCCGCCCUUCAGUGCUGCAGCUAACGCAUUAAGCAUUCCGCCUGGGGAGUACGGCCGCAAGGCUGAAACUCAAAGGAAUUGACGGGGGCCCGCACAAGCGGUGGAGCAUGUGGUUUAAUUCGAAGCUACGCGAAGAACCUUACCAGGUCUUGACAUACUAUGCAAAUCUAAGAGAUUAGACGUUCCCUUCGGGGACAUGGAUACAGGUGGUGCAUGGUUGUCGUCAGCUCGUGUCGUGAGAUGUUGGGUUAAGUCCCGCAACGAGCGCAACCCUUAUUAUCAGUUGCCAGCAUUAAGUUGGGCACUCUGGUGAGACUGCCGGUGACAAACCGGAGGAAGGUGGGGAUGACGUCAAAUCAUCAUGCCCCUUAUGACCUGGGCUACACACGUGCUACAAUGGAUGGUACAACGAGUUGCGAACUCGCGAGAGUAAGCUAAUCUCUUAAAGCCAUUCUCAGUUCGGAUUGUAGGCUGCAACUCGCCUACAUGAAGUCGGAAUCGCUAGUAAUCGCGGAUCAGCAUGCCGCGGUGAAUACGUUCCCGGGCCUUGUACACACCGCCCGUCACACCAUGAGAGUUUGUAACACCCAAAGUCGGUGGGGUAACCUUUUAGGAACCAGCCGCCUAAGGUGGGACAGAUGAUUAGGGUGAAGUC
rnacentral:rRNA from 4 species